UAUUGGUCAGGAGGUGGGUGGAAAGGAAAGUUAUCAGAGGCAAGAAAGGUAGUUGUUAUGUAUUCGGUAAGACUGUCCCAGAUCGUGUAUCCCUGAGGGAAGAGUUCAGAAAACACAAGGCCCCUCCUGCGUGGGUUGUUGUGGCUGCAUUUAUCAAAGUAUUACAAGAACAGGGUGAGCUCAAAAGAACCGGCUGGUUUACCAGCCAGGAGGAGAGUUCUAGAAAACCUGGAGAAAUCUGGGGAGCUACAGAGUUCUCAGUUCUACCUGGUAAAUGGUAACACUUAGAAGUCCUUUGAGCAGCAAAGGACAAUUAAAGCUGACAUGAGGCCGGGCGCGGUGGCUCACGCCUGUAAUCCCAGCACUUUGGGAGGCCGAGGCGGGCGGAUCACGAGGUCAGGAGAUCGAGACCAUCCUGGCUAACACGGUGAUACCCUGUCUCUACUAAAAAUACAAAAAAAUUAGCCGGGCGUGGUGGCGGGCGCCUGUAGUCCCAGCUGCUGUGGAGGUUGAGGCAGGAGAAUGGCGUGAACCCGGGAGGCGGAGCUUGCAGUGAGCCGAGAUCACAUCACUGCACUCCAACCUGGACGACAGAGCUCCGUCUCAAAAAAAAAAAAUGCUGAAAUGAAAGGAACCCUCUUUAAGGGUACACUUUGAUGAGACUCCAUGAGGGUGGACCACACUGCAGGUAGGGAGUUGGUGGCCGCAUCCAGCCUGGCCAGUGGGGCGGGAGGGGCUGCUGUGGGGUCAGUGGGUCCGGAAUAAGAUGCUGGAAACUUCUCCCUCCAUGGCUGACUGGGCAUUCUCUUUGCUUGGCCUGUGGCUCCCGUGGGUAAAUUCAUGUCUUGCUAUGUGAUGAAGAGAUUUCUCCGGGGAAGAGGGGGAGGUGUUUGGCCCAGGAAGGACCCAGUGACCUGCAGAUCAAAGACGGCCUCCCUACCUCAGUAAUGGGCACCAGAGAAAAGCCUGCUGCCAGCCGUCCAUUGGAAAUGGGCCCAACAGAACCAAUGCUGUCUGUGCUUGGGGUGUGGGGGGUAGAAGAGAAAGCAAAAGAAAACCGAAACCUUCCUUAAUAAUGAACAGAUGACACGUGAUAGUUAGCAAGAUGUAGGACACAGUUGUAACUCUCCAUGAAAUCAACAAAGAGAAAAUCGAGUGUUGGAUAUUUCAUGCAUAAUUUUUUGAUAAAAUCAUAGGAUUGCCUGCUGCAACAUCCUUCAUUUCACAGUUGACCAUUACAGAAUGAUGCUGAAGGGAGUCACAUUGCAAAAACAACUGAGCUCCUUCUCAUCCUUCACGAACGCCUCUCUUUGAGGUCAACCCACCCCGUUGCGAGGCCCCUAUCUUUUCUCCUUGGCCAGCUUCUCUUUCAGGGUGAACUGCCUGAUCUUCACUGCGGUGGCCUUGCCUGGCUCCCAGCAGAGGUUCUCCAAAGUCACUUUCAUCAACAUCACAGAAUCCUACAUUUCUUUUUUUUUUUUUUUUUUUUGCAAGCAUUGCAAUUUUACUUGAAAUUUGCAUUGUAAAUAUGACUGUGGAAUAUUUACUUAAGAGAGCUGGUUCUGCAAAGACAUGGAAGAGAUCUGGGAGGGGGUGUGUGUGUGGGAAUAAGUGAUAUCGUUAGUAAAUGAGCUGCUUCAUGGAGAACACUUUCAGAAGUGGUCAGCCUGGCCCCGUCUCUGCUAAAAAUACCAAAAAAAAAAAAAAAAA
ensembl:lncRNA